rnacentral:rRNA from 1 species
AGCGAACGCUGGCGGCAGGCCUAACACAUGCAAGUCGAACGGACCCUUCGGGGUUAGUGGCGGACGGGUGAGUAACACGUGGGAACGUGCCUUUUGGUUCGGAGUAGCUCCUGGAAACGGGUGGUAAUGCCGAAUGUGCCCUCCGGGGGAAAGAUUUAUCGCCAUUAGAGCGGCCCGCGUCUGAUUAGCUAGUUGGUGAGGUAAAGGCUCACCAAGGCGACGAUCAGUAGCUGGUCUGAGAGGAUGACCAGCCACAUUGGGACUGAGACACGGCCCAAACUCCUACGGGAGGCAGCAGUGGGGAAUCUUGCGCAAUGGGCGAAAGCCUGACGCAGCCAUGCCGCGUGAAUGAUGAAGGUCUUAGGAUUGUAAAAUUCUUUCACCGGGGACGAUAAUGACGGUACCCGGAGAAGAAGCCCCGGCUAACUUCGUGCCAGCCGCCGCUGUAACAC